rnacentral:rRNA from 1 species
AGAGUUUGAUCAUGGCUCAGGAUGAACGCUGGCGGCGUGCCUAACACAUGCAAGUCGAGCGAUUUACUUCGGUAAAGAGCGGCGGACGGGUGAGUAACGCGUGGGUAACCUGCCUCAUACACAUGGAUAACAUACCGAAAGGUAUGCUAAUACAAGAUGAUAUAAGAGAUUCGCAUGAGUUUCUUAUCAAAGCUCCGGCGGUAUGAGAUGGACCCGCGUCUGAUUAGCUAGUUGGUAAGGUAACGGCUUACCAAGGCGACGAUCAGUAGCCGACCUGAGAGGGUGAUCGGCCACAUUGGAACUGAGACACGGUCCAAACUCCUACGGGAGGCAGCAGUGGGGAAUAUUGCACAAUGGGCGAAAGCCUGAUGCAGCAACGCCGCGUGAGCGAUGAAGGCCUUCGGGUCGUAAAGCUCUGUCCUCAAGGAAGAUAAUGACGGUACUUGAGGAGGAAGCCCCGGCUAACUACGUGCCAGCAGCCGCGGUAAUACGUAGGGGGCUAGCGUUAUCCGGAUUUACUGGGCGUAAAGGGUGCGUAGGUGGUUUCUUAAGUCAGGAGUGAAAGGCUACGGCUCAACCGUAGUAAGCUCUUGAAACUGGGAAACUUGAGUGCAGGAGAGGAAAGUGGAAUUCCUAGUGUAGCGGUGAAAUGCGUAGAUAUUAGGAGGAACACCAGUAGCGAAGGCGGCUUUCUGGACUGUAACUGACACUGAGGCACGAAAGCGUGGGGAGCAAACAGGAUUAGAUACCCUGGUAGUCCACGCCGUAAACGAUGAGUACUAGGUGUCGGGGGUUACCCCCCUCGGUGCCGCAGCUAACGCAUUAAGUACUCCGCCUGGGGAGUACGCUCGCAAGAGUGAAACUCAAAUGAAUUGACGG